CUUGGCUUAAACUUUGAGUUUUAUAAAACACAUAAGAUAAAGACCGCUGAACUCCACUUAAUUUAUUCAAAUUUCUAAACUAAGUUUUUCAUGGCCCCGCGGAUCCAUUCCUACAAUCCUAAAUUCAGUCCUCUGCUAGCUGGUACACGGAAUCUUAGGAUUUUCACUAUUGUCCACAGAAAUGAAAUUAACUCAUGAUUUUGUGACUGCACCUUUACUUAAAGCUCUAGGAACUAUGGAAGGAAACAAUAAACCAUAAUACAAUUUCUGCCUAAUUGGUUUUCCCUCUGACAUUGCGCUGGUUUCCAAAACUAUUACCUCACUGUGUGAUUAUCCUCACAAUCCUCUGAGAAAAAAGUUCUAGCUUCCCUUCCUUUCGCUGGGUGUAUCUCACUUCCUUAAUCACAUAUGACCUUACUACUCACAUGUUUGAAAGACAUUUGUCACCUCCUGAUUGCCUGAAGCUCCAUCAAGCAUCUUCACCCCUACUGGGCAUGGUAGCUACUCUGCAGCCUGGACCUAGAUGCCUGGCUUAAUGUGUCAACUGAUAAGCUGCCUGCUUCCUCACUGCUCUCUCUUAGGUCACCCUUCACAGUUUUCAUUUAUCUUCAACUUCUCCCAGCGUACCUAGCAUAAAGUUGGUACUCAAUAAUUGUGUGAUGCAUGAAUAUAUGAAGAAGUAAACAAAUUAACACUUAUGCUUGAAAUCUUCCAACGGAUCUCAUUACUUAGAGGAUAAAGCCUAAAAUCUGAAGCUUGAUAUAAAGGGUCUUCCAGAAUCUCUAGCAGCCUAUGUAGCCAUCCCUUGUUAGACAACUAACUUCCAUCAAACUCUGUAGAUGCUCAAGUCUCUUAUAUAAAAUAGAUUUAUAAUGCAUACAUAUCCUCCCAUGAAAUUUUAAAUCAUCUCUAGAUUACUUUCAAUACCUAAUAUGAUGUAAGUGCAUAUAAAUAGUCUUUUCCUUGUAUUGUUUAGAAAUCGCAGUCAUGUGCUGCAUAACAGUGUUAAGCUCAAUUAUGGACUGCAUAUAUGAUAGUGGUCCCAAAAGGUCAUAAUAGAGCUGAAAAAUUCCUGUCUUCGAGUGAAAUUCUAGCCAUCAUGACAUCAAAGUAUAACACAUUACACAUUUGUGUUGAUGUUCUUAUAAAUAAAUCUACUAUAUUGCUAAUUUUACAAUUAUA
rnacentral:lncRNA from 1 species